CCCAUCCGUGGGCUGUGGACAUGAGUGAGACGCAGCCUCCCGCCUCAUCCAGUGAACGCUGAGGAUCUAGUUACGGGAAGCCUGACAGCGCGCUCUGAUUUCAGGAUCUGCCCUUAGUCGACAAGCCAGUAUCAAACACGAUCAAUUAAUCCAUUCUCCCUCUGACUAACUGGCAGGACCAUAGGGCCAGGGCGCUGUGCGAUGUCAAGGGACACCCCUCCCGUUAGAAGCAUGAACAGCGGAGACCAGGAAGGUCAUGACCCCUGUUCAAGGUUGCACAGCCCGGGACACGGCUGGAGGACCUGACUCCUAGUCCGAAGCUGUAAGAUGGACAUUUUGAACCAGGCACUGAGACAUCAAGACAAUGCAAAGCGGGACAGCAACUAAUGCACAUUUUCACCUAGAACAACAGUAAGGAUGGUGAGCUACCUAAGAAGACUCUGUCUGGCAUAACUCAGCAAAACUGGCGGUUUUAUGAGCCGAUCGCAUUUCACAAAACGCGUGCAUGGACAGUGGGAAUCCGCUGGAACUUUCUGGCCCGCCCAGAGAUGCUGAUGGGGAAGUUGUUGGAAGCUUUUGGGGCAAUGUCAAUAGCGCAUCGAGUAACAUUCUGUUUCCUGGCUCCUCUGAUCCAGCCAGGGCAUUUAUUUAAUGGCUGCAUGAGAUGGAAAAAGGAAGAGCGGUGCGACAUUCAGCCCGAAAUAGAGUGUGGAACAAUGUGGAGGGGGCACUGAUGGCCGGAAUGCCGCUCGGGAAAGGUCUAGCUCCCGGCCACUGGCCACCCGGAGCUUCCCAGUAAACCCAGCCGCUUCAGACUGGACAGAGUGGGAGUGGCCACAUGUCCCUACUGUCACCUCGCAAGCCUGGCAGGGCCCGUGAUGUCUUCCAUGGAUGCCUCUGCUUUUCAGGGCCCCGAUGACAUAGCGGAACAUGUGGUGACCUAUAGGACACUUUGGCCCAGAAAUUCCCGUCUGAGUUGACAUUUAUAAACACAUUGAACUUGCAUUCUGGUUCACAAAAAAAGUAAACUGUUAGAAAAGAGUAAACUGGGUUCUGCAUUCGGUCAUGGUUCCUACUGUGACUUGUAAGAAAAAUGAAAAUACAAGUGUUGGUAAAUACAGCCUCUGGCAGAGGACCAUUCCGCCUGCCUGUUGGUUGGGAAGGGGUAUAGGGCCAAGGGC